CGAUACCGCCGGGCUCCCCUCGGUGCAGGGGCCGUGCGGCGAGCGCCGCUCCGCAGCCCUCGGAAGGCUCUCGCCCGCCCGCCCGGUGGGCGCGAUCGCUGCCGCUGCGGAGCUGCCCGGAGGUGCCGUUCCCGCGCGGCGGCUCUGCGCCUCGGGAGGGGUCACCUGAGUUCUCGCCCCGGCUUGCUCGGAGAGGCACCGGCCUGCGCCAGCGGGGAAGUUCCAGGGAACCUUGUAAAAGCGUCCCGGCGCGGGAUGUCACCUCCGGUAGCUGGGGAACGGCUUUUCCGCUUUCUCCGUGCGCCUGCAUCCACAGAUUUUCAAAUCAGCUCACCCGAAGCACUUUACUUAUUUUUCUCCCCCAAAAAACACACCUUUCCCUCAACCAGUGCUUCCACAGACAGCGUGUCCAGGCUGCCGCUGCUGAGUCAGGCAGAUAAGGAUCCUUUUCCUUGGGAACCUUCCGUGUUUCCAUCGCUAGCAGAGGCAUGACCAAGCAAAAGUAGGGGAAGAGGGGAUGACAGUGGUGACCUGAUACACAAAAGGUGACAGAAGAUGGCUCUUCCUCUGUGGAGCGGGAAAGGGUCUGGAUUAAUGCAUAAGAAAGGUUGGAAGUUUUCAAGAAGCAAGGAAAACAGUGUUACUCUCAGAAGGACACUUUAACUGAACUGCAAUAAACCCAGAAAAAAACAAGAGCUAUUUUUACAAAAGAAUGGAAAAUAAAUCCUUACCUCAGAUUCAUGUCUGUAACCAGACAUAUUGUGUUAAAAGCUAGUCCCGGAGUUGUACAACAGCCAAAUGGGAUGGCCAGGGCACAGGGCCCAUAUCAUCUGAAUGGGAGGGUCCUGUGUUCCUGUCUUCUGGAAGUGGAGUUGUGCUGUGACUGUGGCAUGCCUGGUGGAAGAUCUUUAAAUAAAAAGCAUGGGGUUCAUCUGAACAGCAACUUUGCUGUCCAUAAACUGAAAUCUGCAGAAAAUACUGCGGGAGAAGAGAUGUGUUGUUCUUUUCUUGAAACACAGUUCUGUGGCAGAUAUUUCAGUUUGCAGUGGGACCUGUUAAAUGUGCAUUUCACUUGCUGGAGCUAGUG